rnacentral:misc_RNA from 1 species
CAGAGAAACUUGCCCCCUUGGGGUAGAUCUCCACCCUUUGUUUACUAUACCUUUGUUGCUUUGGCAAGCCUGUCUUUGACUACCGGCAUCAGCUGGUCAGUGCCUGCCAGAGGACCCCCUAAACUCUCGAUUUUGUAUUGUCUGAGUACUCUAUAAUAGUUA